UACGCCGGGUUAAGGCGUCCGAUGCGGGACGCUCAGAGACCCCAUAAAAGGUGUCGGUUGCUCUAGACAGCAGGACGGUGGCCACAGAAGUCGGCAUCCGCUAAGGAGUGUGUAACAACUCACCUGCCUAAGCAACAGGUCCUGAAAAUGGAUGGCGCUCCAGCGUCGAGCCCAUACCCGGCCCUUUCUCUAAUGUUGAUUGAAAGGAGAAAGGAGUAGGAGGGUCGCGGCGGAGUGCGUAGAAGGUCAGGGCGCGAUCCCGACUGGAGCCUCCGCCGGUGCAGAUCUUGGUGGUAGUAGCAAAUAUUCGAGUGAGAACCUCGAAGACUGAAGCACGGCGAAGGGUUCCAUGUGAACAGCAGUUGAACAUGGGUGAGAAGGUCCUGAUUCACUUCCUAAAGGAAACUUAAUGGUCUCUAUUAUUUGAGUAAGAGACGUAUUGGGGAGAAUGGGAAAAGGGUUAAUAUUCCCUUACCCGGACACGGAGAUAGGGGCACCAGUGUCCCAAGUGCGGUAACGCAAACGAACUCGGCGACGCCGUCGGAGGACCCGGAGAAGAGUUGACUUUUCUUCGUAAGAGCUCGUGUCCCUGGAAUCUCGUCACGAGGAGAUAGGGACGCUGUUCUCGUAAGAGCACGGUCGCUGCUGUCGUGUCCGGUACGCCUCCGCCGGCCCUUGAAAAACCGAGGGAGAGAGUGUGAUUUUCGUGCCGGUCCGUACCCAUAUCCGCAGCAGGUCUCCAAGGUGAACAGCCUCUAGUCUCUAGAACAAUGUAGGUAAGGGAAGUCGGCAAGUUCGAUCGCUAACUUCGGGAAAAUGAUUGGCUCUUGUGUUUCCGUCCUGGCGGACCUCUUUUGCCGUAUUUCGUCUCGUCUUUUUCGGGGACUGACCGCUCUUUCCGGGGUGGUCGGACCUCAUUAGGAUGAAUGGAAGAGGAAAGAGGGUGACCCUCUCCUUCGAGAGUUGGGCUUGUGCCGCCGGACAAAAUGGAAACGAACAAGAACUGGCACGGACUAGGGGAAUCCGACUGUCUAAUUAAAACA